UACGAAGGGGGCUAGCGUUGUUCGGAUUAACUGGGCGUAAAGGGUGCGUAGGCGGGUUUUUAAGUCAGGGGUGAAAUCCCGAGGCUCAACCUCGGAACUGCCUUUGAUACUGGAAAUCUUGAGUCUGGGAGAGGUGAGUGGAACUGCGAGUGUAGAGGUGAAAUUCGUAGAUAUUCGCAAGAACACCGGUGGCGAAGGCGGCUCACUGGCCCGGAACUGACGCUGAGGCGCGAAAGCGUGGGGGAGCAAACAGG
rnacentral:rRNA from 1 species